AAAAAAAAAAAAACCUCAAAUUCGUCUUAAAGGGAGGCAAACGACAAAGGGAAGCUCUUUCAAAAGCUGAGACCUUAACAGCAGGCAAGUUGCAGACUGCUGCUGAGACUAAAGAUGACCACAGUAUUCUGGUACACAUUAAGGACAAAGACUGUGUGGCUCUGGAGGUGCAGUACCACAAGAGCUGCUACCAGCAGUACACCAGAUUUCUGAAUGAGCCUGCUAGACAAGAGAAGGACAAGUCAUUGCCUGGAUGCUGACCCCUGCCUUUUUGCACCGUGCCACAGGACUUUUAUAUAUUUAUAUAUAUUUUGUGUAUAUAUAAAUUUGCAUUUGUAAUGUGUAUAUA